AGGUAAGAGUUAAAAUUAGUAAUCGUUGACCAAAAACUUCCCCGCUGUAUAAAGAAUGGGGUAUUCAUAAGAAAAAAGUACAAAUCGAUAUAGAUUUCUAGCGGAGUUCCUGAAGUUAUUAAGAAGAGAUCGAGAAAAGGAUAAUGGCAUCCAUAUGCAAAGGCAAGAGUUCAUGGCCUGAACUAGUUGGGUGUGACGGAGAUACCGCCGCUGCAACUAUCAAGAAACAAAAUCGUAACAUCGUGAGCGCCAUUGUUGUGCUAGAAGGAACUGGUGUAAUAGAGGAUUUCAGGUGCAACAGGGUCUGGGUUUGGGUCAAUGGCAGCGGAAUUGUCACCAUCACACCUGUAAUUGGGUGAAAUUAAGUUAAGUGGAUGGAAAACAAGUGGCAGCUGAUAUUGUCUUUCUGGUAUCUUAGCACAAAUGUAUGUUACUGAUAAAAUAAAUAAACUUAUUUCUGCAAUGUUUCCAAUCAAAAAGUUUAAAUACAUACUAUAUCUUCCGUAAUUGUCGAAACACUGAUACAUAAA